CCUACGGGCGUCAGCAGUGAGGAAUCUUGGUCAAUGGACGAGAGUCUGAACCAGCCAAGUAGCGUGAAGGAUGACUGCCCUAUGGGUUGUAAACUUCUUUUAUAUGGGAAUAAAACGUUCCACGUGUGGGAUUUUGUAUGUACCAUAUGAAUAAGGCUCGGCUAACUCCGUGCCAGCAGCCGCGGUAAUACGGAGGCUCCGAGCGUUAUCCGGCUUUAUUGGGUUUAAAGGGAGCGUAGGUGGAUUGUUAAGUCAGUUGUGAAAGUUUGCGGCUCAACCGUAAAAGUGCAUUUGAAACUGGCAGUCUUGAGUACAGUAGAGGUGGGCGGAAUUCGUGGUGUAGCGGUGAAAUGCUUAGAUAUCACGAAGAACUCCGAUUGCGAAGGCAGUUCACUGGACUGCAACUGACACUGAGGCUCGAAAGUGUGGGUAUCAAACAGGAUUAGAUACCCUUGUAGUC
rnacentral:rRNA from 1 species